rnacentral:ncRNA from 1 species
UUACACGCGGCGGGAGAGAGCCGGCAGAUGCCCGGCCGCCGAAGGCGCAAUUCGCCCAGAAUCGCUCAGGCACCCCGUACCGCCCGUGUAUU